rnacentral:rRNA from 1 species
CAUCGCCUCUUGUUAAUCUAUAAGAGGUCCUGCCUGCCCAGUGAUUAAUUUAACGGCCGCGGUACAUUAACCGUGCAAAGGUAGCAUAAUCAAUUGUCCUUUAAAUAAGGACUAGUAUGAAUGGCACCACGAGGGUUUAACUGUCUCCCCCUUUUAAUCAAUGAAAUUAAUCUUCCCGUGAAGAAGCGGGAAUAAAACUAUAAGACGAAAAGACCCCAUGGAGCUUUAAACUUAUUAGCAUUUAUCUUAUUUACAUAACAAUUUACACAAUAACACUGCUUAAAUGUUUUCGGUUGGGGCGACCCUGGAGAAAAAUAAAUCCUCCAGAUUGAAAAGCAAUAACCCUUAUAUAAGAACCACAAUUCAAAUAAACAAAAAUUUGACAAAACUGAUCCAGAACUAACUGAUCAAUGAACCAAGUUACCCUGGGGAUAACAGCGCAAUCCAUUUUAAGAGCUCCUAUCGACAAAUGGGCUUACGACCUCGAUGUUGGAUUAGGGUAUCCCAGCAGCGCAGCAG